rnacentral:rRNA from 1 species
GAUGAACGCUGGCGGUCUGCUUAACACAUGCAAGUCGAACGGAAUCCUUCGGGGUUUAGUGGCGGACGGGUGAGUAACGCGUGAGGAUCUGCCUUCAGGACGGGGACAACAGUUGGAAACGACUGCUAAGACCCGAUGUGCCGAGAGGUGAAAGUAAAUUAGCCUGAAGAUGAACUCGCGUCGGAUUAGCUAGUUGGAGUGGUAAUGGCACACCAAGGCGACGAUCCGUAGCUGGUCUGAGAGGAUGACCAGCCACACUGGGACUGAGACACGGCCCAGACUCCUACGGGAGGCAGCAGUGGGGAAUUUUCCGCAAUGGGCGAAAGCCUGACGGAGCAAGACCGCGUGGGGGAGGAAGGUCUGUGGAUUGUAAACCCCUUUUGUCAGGGAAGAAUCAAAUGACGGUACCUGACGAAUCAGCCUCGGCUAACUCCGUGCCAGCAGCCGCGGUAAUACGGAGGAGGCAAGCGUUAUCCGGAAUUAUUGGGCGUAAAGCGUCCGCAGGUGGUUAUACAAGUCUGCUGUCAAAGCGCGAGGCUCAACUUCGUACCGGCAGUGGAAACUGUAGGACUAGAGAAUGAUAGGGGCAGAGGGAAUUCCCAGUGUAGCGGUGAAAUGCGUAGAGAUUGGGAAGAACACCGGUGGCGAAAGCGCUCUGCUGGGUCAUAUCUGACACUGAGGGACGAAAGCUAGGGGAGCGAAAGGGAUUAGAUACCCCUGUAGUCCUAGCCGUAAACGAUGGACACUAGGCGUUGACCG